UACGUAGGGUGCGAGCGUUGUCCGGAAUUAUUGGGCGUAAAGAGCUCGUAGGCGGUUUGUCGCGUCUGCUGUGAAACCACGAGGCUCAACCUCGGGCCUGCAGUGGGUACGGGCAGACUAGAGUGCGGUAGGGGAGAUUGGAAUUCCUGGUGUAGCGGUGGAAUGCGCAGAUAUCAGGAGGGACACCAAUGGCGAAGGCAGAUCUCUGGCCGUAACUGACGCUGAGGAGCGAAAGCAUGGGGAGCGAACAGG
rnacentral:rRNA from 1 species